GACGAACGCUGGCGGCGUGCUUAACACAUGCAAGUCGAACGAUGAACCCGGAGCUUGCUCCGGCGGAUUAGUGGCGAACGGGUGAGUAACACGUGAGUAACCUGCCCUUGACUCUGGGAUAACUGCUAGAAAUGGUAGCUAAUACCGGAUACGACCCUCGGUGGCAUCACCAGGGGGUGGAAAGAAUUUCGGUCAAGGAUGGACUCGCGGCCUAUCAGCUAGUUGGUGAGGUAACGGCUCACCAAGGCGACGACGGGUAGCCGGCCUGAGAGGGUGACCGGCCACCCUGGGACUGAGACACGGCCCAGACUCCUACGGGAGGCAGCAGUGGGGAAUAUUGCACAAGGGGCGCAAGCCUGAUGCAGCAACGCCGCGUGAGGGAUGACGGCCUUCGGGUUGUAAACCUCUUUUAGUAGGGAAGAAGCGAAAGUGACGGUACCUGCAGAAAAAGCACCGGCUAGCUACGUGCCAGCCGCCGCGGUAA
rnacentral:rRNA from 1 species